rnacentral:rRNA from 1 species
CAGUAGCCACGGGAAUACAGAGGGUGCGAGCGUUAAUCGGAUUUACUGGGCGUAAAGCGUGCGUAGGCGGCUUCUUAAGUCGGAUGUGAAAUCCCUGAGCUUAACUUAGGAAUUGCAUUCGAUACUGGGAAGCUAGAGUAUGGGAGAGGAUGGUAGAAUUCCAGGUGUAGCGGUGAAAUGCGUAGAGAUCUGGAGGAAUACCGAUGGCGAAGGCAGCCAUCUGGCCUAAUACUGACGCUGAGGUACGAAAGCAUGGGGAGCAAACAGGAUUAGAUACCCGCGUAGUCCCUGUCUCUUAUCA